rnacentral:rRNA from 1 species
ACGAACGCUGGCGGCGUGCUUAACACAUGCAAGUCGAGCGGUAAGGCCCUUUCGGGGGUACACGAGCGGCGAACGGGUGAGUAACACGUGGGUGACCUGCCCUCAGCUCUGGGAUAAGCCUGGGAAACCGGGUCUAAUACCGGAUAUGACUCCAUGACGCAUGUUGUGGGGUGGAAAGCCUUGUGCGGCUGAGGAUGGGCCCGCGGCCUAUCAGCUUGUUGGUGGGGUGAUGGCCUACCAAGGCGACGACGGGUAGCCGGCCUGAGAGGGCGACCGGCCACACUGGGACUGAGACACGGCCCAGACUCCUACGGGAGGCAGCAGUGGGGAAUCUUGCGCAAUGGGCGAAAGCCUGACGCAGCGACGCCGCGUG